GUGCGUUUGUGUUAAACACAAAUAAACCAGACGUUACUCAACAGUUACUCAGUACUUGAGUAGCUUUUUCACCAAGCACUUUUUUACUCUUACUCAAGUAAUUAUUUGGAUGACUACUUUUUACUUUUACUUGAGUCAUAUUAUUCUGAAGUAACAGUACUUUUACUUGAGUACAGUUUUUGGCUACUCUACCCACCUCUGC